rnacentral:rRNA from 1 species
GAUGAACGCUGGCGGCGUGCCUAAUACAUGCAAGUCGAGCGAACGGACGAGAAGCUUGCUUCUCUGAUGUUAGCGGCGGACGGGUGAGUAACACGUGGAUAACCUACCUAUAAGACUGGGAUAACUUCGGGAAACCGGAGCUAAUACCGGAUAAUAUUUUGAACCGCAUGGUUCAUAAGUGAAAGACGGUCUUGCUGUCACUUAUAGAUGGAUCCGCGCUGCAUUAGCUAGUUGGUAAGGUAACGGCUUACCAAGGCAACGAUGCAUAGCCGACCUGAGAGGGUGAUCGGCCACACUGGAACUGAGACACGGUCCAGACUCCUACGGGAGGCAGCAGUAGGGAAUCUUCCGCAAUGGGCGAAAGCCUGACGGAGCAACGCCGCGUGAGUGAUGAAGGUCUUCGGAUCGUAAAACUCUGUUAUUAGGGAAGAAAAUAUGUGUAAGUAACUGUGCACAUCUUGACGGUACCUAAUCAGAAAGCCACGGCUAACUACGUG